GUGCUUGGCCAUAUCAAGACAUCAAUGACCCAAAUGUCAGUAAGUACCAAUAAUUUUGUGGAAUCUUAUCUAACUAAUUGAGAUAGGACUAGGAGUGCCAAAUAAUUAACUAAUUGAACUAAUAGUACUUUUUCUUGGGAGGGAAUACUAAGUUAUGUUUGAUUUUUUCUUUUUCGAUUUGAUGUUUGAUUUUUAGAGAUUAAAGAAUUAUACUUCAGC
rnacentral:lncRNA from 1 species